AAGAGAGAGGGACCAAGCAAGCGGAAGGUGCAGAGAGAAGGGGACAGAGGAUCCGAAGCGGGCUCCAUGCUGACAGCAGAGAACCUGAUAUGGGGCUCAAACUCACGAACCGCGAGAUCAUGACCAGAACUGAAGUCAGACGCUUAACCGACUAAGACACCCAGACGCCCCCAUAAAGACAAUAUUUUCAAAGAAGAAUUGGCAACAGAGCCCUGAUAAAAUGUCAAGUUCAAAGGUAAGAUGGGGACUUGUCUAAUCAUGAUAACUCAGAACUGCCCGGUGUUUUCUACGCAUCUCGCUGGUACGGACGUGACAUAUAUAUCACCUCACUUAAACCCCUGGCAACCCUAUGAGGCUAUGAUUCUAAUUUUGCAGGUGAAAGAAUGUGCACAGGAAGCGAUUUGUUCAGGUUGCAGAGCCAGUGAGCGGUGGGACCAGGUUUCAGACCUGGAGUCAGGCUCUGGCGGCCACGCUUGUAACCUUGACCCACACAGCCUCUCACUGCCUGUGGGGCAGGAGCCCACAGGGCGGUGCGUGUGUGUGUGUGUGUGUGUGUGUGUGUGUGUGUGUGUAGUUUUGGUGAAACCUCCAAAAGAGUGUUAGUGGUUAUGCCUGGGUGGUGGUUUGUAUUUUCUUCUUUACCUCUUUUUGCUAUUUCCUCAAGCAUUUGCAGCUAGCAGUACUUUUAAGGAGCCAGUGAUGAAAGGCGACGGCAGCAGUUUCCCGAAAUUACAGAUCGCUUUAAUCUACUUUGGGAACCAGGAGAUAUAUAAAAACGUUUCAAGACAACAUGUGCCAACUGCAUGGCACAGAUGCUAAGUGUUUUAGGAAUGUGAGGUGGGAAUAAUCACUGAACAGUCAGUAAAGAGUCAGUGGAAGAAGUGGGUCUUGGGCUUGUCCUUGGCAGGAUCCUUUAGCUGGGGAGGAGAAGGAACAAAGGCGGAGAACAGAAGAUCAGCCCAGAGGAAGCACAGGAUUUACAUAGGCUGCGAUGGGACAUAAAGAAAGCUAAUUGGUGACAGAGCAUGGAGGGCCCUGAAUACCCAGCGAGAAAAUUUGCGUUACGAAUAGUAUCGUUCAUAAGAGUGGAAAAUUUUUAAUGACUUAAAUACUCAUCAAAGGGACAACGUACACAUUUCUAUGGCAUAUUUAUCCAAAGUGCGGCGAGGAUGCGGUGAAAAUUUUGAGCAGGAGGCUUGAUCACAGCCAGGUUCGGGGGACGUUUCGUCCAGCACGGGCGGAUGGGAGAGUGAGCUGGAAGGAGGAUGACCAGUUGGGUGACUGUUUCUAUAAACUCGAUGUGGAGAGAGGAGGCCUUGAUGUGGCCACGGAGAAUGGAAAGGACACGAAAGACAAAGGUUUAAGGAGAAAAGCAGUGGGAUGUGGUUGAUAAACAUGCACGUUAGAGCCGUUGACUUGCUGCUGCUGAUGGCAAUGACUCUGGCUUUCAGAUCUAAUGAUUGCAUAGGGUUUUUUUAAUGUUUAUUUAUUAAAUUUUUUUCAACGCUUAUUUAUUAUUGAGAGACAGAGACAUGAGCAUGGGAGGGGCAGAGGGAGGAGGAGACACAGAAUCCGAAGCAGGUGCCGGGCUCUGAGCUGUCAGCACAGAGCCCGAUGAGGGGCUCACACUCAUGACCUGAGAUCAUGACCUGAGUCAAAGUCAGACACUUAACCGACUGAGCCACCCAGGCGCCACCCCCUCCCCCCCCUUUUUAAAAAAGAAGUUCCACAAUUUUUCUUACAGGUCUGCCGUACAAUAGAGGCUCAGUACAAUUUUUUCAAUACAUGGGCUGUUCCAGGUGCCCUGUUGUAUUGCUGUAGCCCUUACUAGCAAGGUUGUUUUUCUGAUUUCUAAUCUAAACAUUGCUGUAUAUUAAAACCCCAUUUCUCAAGUGCAUCUUUUGUGAAGAGGAAUUAGUUAGUCUCGCUGGUUGUACACUUCCGUGUGUGUAAAGUAAGGCAUGCUUCAGCUUGGUUUCAUUAUGAUAAAUGGUAACAACCCCUUUAACAUUUGUCUUUAAGUCUGAUCUUGCAAUGCAAAUUUGCUUGUAUGAGCAAGGUGCUUGUACAAAAUAAAAAUUGGAUUUGUGUAAUGUCCCGGAGACCAACAACCUGGAAAGACUUUAUUUAUUCGUAUAUUUAUUCAUAUAUUAACUGAAGUGUUACUUUGUGCCCUAAGGAAGACAGCAUGAUGACCUCAGGGUAAGAGGGGAUUUCAUAAACACAACGUAAGUAUGAACAUAAAAGGUUGAUGUAUUUGAUUACAUUUAAAACGUAUGUUAAAUGAAUGAGCAGAAAGUAAACAGAUUUAAAAAACAAAUAGACUGAGAGAAGACCUUGCAACACGUGUGCCCCACAAAGCCUUAGUAUCCAGAGUUCGUAAAGAAUGCCUACCAAUUAGCAGAAGAUAAACAACAAAACAGAAACGCAGGCAAAGCAUCAGUGAAGAGGAAAUCCGUAUUGCCAGUAAACUCAUGAGAAGACCUUCAACUCUUCUAAUAAUCUGGGAAGCAGCGUCACAGUGAGACGUCAUUUCACACCCACCAGACUGGCAGAAUGUAAGAGACUUGAAAAACAAUUGGUGAGGGUGUGGAACACUGGCGCUUUUAUCUCUUAUGGAUGAGAGCUGGCCACAUGCCCUGGAGAGCAAUUUGUCAGUUUCCUGGUGAAGUUAGACUCCUUCCCUCCAGUGCAGAGUAUCCCUCCUCCAGACUUGUACAGAAGGAUGUAUACAAGACUGUUUGAUCCAAUAUUGUUCUUAACAUCGAAACGUUUUAAAUGACUCAAAUAGUCAUCUAAAGGAUCUAUAUAAAUAAACAUGCUAUAUUUAGACACUGCAAUGCUAUA